AGAGUUUGAUCAUGGCUCAGAAUCAACGCUGGCGGCGCGCUUAACACAUGCAAGUCGCACGAGAAAGUGGAGCAAUCCAUGAGUACAGUGGCGUACGGGUGAGUAACACGUGGAUUAUCUACCCUUUAGUGGGGAAUAACCCUGGGAAACCGGGGCUAAUACCGCAUAAGCCUGGAAAGGGAAAGCAGCAAUGCGCUGAAGGAGGAGUCCGCGGCCGAUUAGCUAGUUGGUAGGGUAAUGGCCUACCAAGGCAAUGAUCGGUAGCCGGCCUGAGAGGGCACACGGCCACACUGGCACUGAAACACGGGCCAGACUCCUACGGGAGGCAGCAGUGGGGAAUCUUGCACAAUGGGGGAAACCCUGAUGCAGCGACGCCGCGUGAGCGAUGAAGCCCUUCGGGGUGUAAAGCUCUUUCGGCAGGAACGAUAAUGACGGUACCUGAAGAAGAAGCUGCGGCUAACUACGUGCCAGCAGCCGCGGUAAUACGUAGGCAGCAAGCGUUGUUCGGAGUUACUGGGCGUAAAGAGUGUGUAGGCUGUUCUCUAAGUUUGGUGUGAAAUCUCCCGGCUUAACUGGGAGGGUGCGCCGAAAACUGGAGGGCUUGAGUAUGGGAGAGGAAAGCGGAAUUCCUGGUGUAGCGGUGAAAUGCGUAGAUAUCAGGAGGAACACCUGCGGUGUAGACGGCUUUCUGGACCAUCACUGACGCUGAGACACGAAAGCGUGGGGAGCAAACAGGAUUAGAUACCCUAGUAGUCC
rnacentral:rRNA from 1 species